GGAAGCGUGGCCGAGUGGUUGAAGGCGACAGUCUUGAAAACUGUUGUGCCGGAAACGGCACCGGGGGUUCGAAUCCCUCCGCUUCCG
rnacentral:tRNA from 1 species